rnacentral:lncRNA from 1 species
AUUCUGUCGAUUGUAUCUGAGGCGGCGAAACUGAGCUUGAAGAAGAAAGGAAUGCACAUUCCUCCAUGGAGGAAAUUCGAGUACAUGAGAUCCAAAUGGCUGUCGGCACACAUCAGAACCCUACCAUCACCGUCGCCGUCAGUACUACCUCCACCACCACCAACUCCACCUCCAACACCAGACACCAACGCCGCCGUGAAGCAGAUAUUUUCAGAAGCCACAACGGAACAGAUAGGUCCGUCACCGCCGUUCGAGUCCGAGUGCGGAGUUUUUGAACUUAUUUUUGGAGAAGAAACGACGGCGUCGAAGUCAACGGAG